rnacentral:rRNA from 1 species
AUUGAACGCUGGCGGCAGGCCUAACACAUGCAAGUCGAGCGGAGCGGCGGACGGGUGAGUAAUGCCUAGGAAUCUGCCUGGUAGUGGGGGCUAACGUCCGGUAACGGGCGCUAAUACCGCAUACUAUCAGAUGAGCCUAGGUCGGAUUAGCUAGUUGGUGGGGUAAAGGCCUACCAAGGCGACGAUCCGUAACUGGUCUGAGAGGAUGAUCAGUCAAACUGGAACUGAGAGACGGUAAAGACUACUACGGGAGGCAGCAGUGGGAAAUAUUGGACAAUGGGCGAAAGCCUGAUCCAGCCAUGCCGCGUGUGUGCAGAAGGGCUUCGGAUUGUAAAGCACUUUAAGUUGGGAGGCGUUACCAACAGAAUAAGCACCGGCUGACUUCGUGCCGGCAGCCGCGGUAAUUC